GUCAGGAGCAGAUAUGUGCAUGAAGAGGCCUUCAAAUCAUUCUAAAAGUAUAGAUUUGCAGAUGAACAAAACUCUUCCAUAAAACUCUGAACACUUUGUGAUGAAUGUUUAGCUGUUACUUUCUACACCUCCAUGCUGAUACAGAAAAAAGAGGCCGAUCUUGCCAGCAAAUUACAACAUACCCAUUUUCUUCCUUAAUUCUGUAACCAUCACAACCAUAUCCUUGCAACAAC
rnacentral:misc_RNA from 1 species